rnacentral:rRNA from 1 species
CGCCCAUGGUGAAUCAGUGAUACUAACCAUCCUGAAGCCACGAGGAGACCUUCGGGUCUCGAGUUGGUGGAUGCAUGGGACCUGAUCUGGUAGUAGCCAAGCGAU